UCAAAAUUCGACAAGCCCACUAGCCAUUGACGAGUAGAAAUUUAACAGUGACGUGUGAGUGUCUACAAAUAUUAUCUAAAGGUUCAGAGAUGAAGAAGCUGAACUUGCAGAGUUGGAAGAGAUGGACAUUGAGGACAUGGACUGGAUCGCAUCUUCCCCCUUGGUGGCUCUUACGGAACACGACCAGGUCGUGGGCCAUUUGUACGUGCACUGGGCUUCCAUUUGUUUACUGGCCGUGCCUGGAGGACGACAACUGGGAUUCUCCUCGGCUACAGUCAUAUUAAGAUGGUUGGGACUAGGGAUGGG